CCUAGGUGUUUUCAUAAGAAAAAUAACUGGUUUAUAGGAUGAGUUUCUUCCUCUUCUUAGUUAGUACAACACCGAGACCUUCUAACAUCUUAGACUCCUGCUGAGUCAAAUUUUGCAAGUUUUCAAUUGGCUCAUCCUGAAAACACUGCAUUCUGUUCUGUGGUAGAAGAACAAAGCAGAAAAAUAUUUUCUUUUCACUUAGAGCAAAGUGAAAAGGCACUGCUUCCCAGAGAGGAUUCUCUCCACCAGAUCGCAAGUGACCCCACCCAGGGCAUAUACGUUCAAAGGGGCUGGUAAGGCACGAAGGAAUGGAAUCUGAAUCAAACCCUAACUUUGUUUUGCUAGACUAAAAUUAGAAGUGGAGGAUCUGAGUUUUAAGCCCUGACGAAACAAAACUUCCUGUUUGUAUGACAACUUGCCUUGCAAGUUUCUAUCACAUCCAGUGGCUCUGACACUUCAGUUUUUUGAUGCGCUCUCUCUUUCUAUACAUACAGACUGCAAAUAUCUGGAUUGAAUUUCACUUUAAAGCGUACACAGGUUUAAACAUUACAUGGGAAAAAUGCUUGGUGAGAAUCUACUUGGAGUUCACUGAGCUCAGAAAGUUUAAUUGAAAAUAAAACCAGUGAUGCUUAGCUAUCCUCCUUUGGACCUUGUAACUGCGAUCACACAAACACCAGCACUGCAGGGGACCUUUGGCGCUGGCCGCGUCCCAGGCUCUUUCUUGCUCUUAAAGCAGUCCAUGAUGUCCUUCAAAGUCUGCUCUGACAGUUCUGACUCCCAUGCUUGACUUUGAAAAUGCCAGCUGAGGACAGAAACCGCUUUGCUCAAGUGAUCUCAGAAAUGGACACCAGGUGGCCGAAGAAGUGGACUCUCCGCAGAUUCCCAAAGGUCGUCCUCUGGACCUUAUCUCUUGGGCAUAUUUCACUUACCUCCCACGGACUAUUUUCCCUCGGGCACUGAGGACAAAGGGUGGUGGGGAGGAAUGGCAGCUUCUGGGAGGCUGAGGAAUUGUAAAUGCUCCUCCAUGAGACACACAGGGACUGAAAGGAAAUGCAAGGUGAGGCUUCUGAACAUUUUCCUGCUGGUUUCCUCUAUCUCAGUGACAUACAUUUGGAAGAUGUGAGCUCUGAGCCUAAUAGGCAGAGUUCUGGCUUGUUGUGGUUGGUUGUGGGAGUUCUGGCUGUUCAGCGUACCUCCUGCUGGACCUCCCGAUACAGGAUCCUUCCCUGGGACUGUCUCUGUGGGGAACUGUUUCCACUUCCUGUUUCAGGAGUGGUCAUGUGACUCCCUCUGGCCAAUGGAGUGAGUGGCCAUGACUCAACCCACACCUGAUCAGUGGCGUCGGACUGUCUUCUGGGUUGGUCAUUGCUCUCAGGUAGUGUUCACUGUAUGGCCAAAUGGGAGGAGGGAACACUUGGAAUUGAGCUCCAGCUGAACCACAGGACUCACAACACAGGUGGCUAGAGCUUGCAAAGUGACUCAGUGGACUGGAGAGAGCUAUUAUUCAUUGGGAAAGCAACAAGUAUUCCUUUAGAGAAACACCCUGACAUUUGUACUGCAUUUCCAUAGAACACCAACCUUCCUCCAUCAGCAAAGACAAGUUUAAACAGAUACUGGGUUCAAUGGGAGACUCAUUUUCCACUUUCCAUGGCAAAGAAUCUGAGUACUGGAAGAAGUCAGAAGUAUCAUUUGCUGAAUAGUUUUGUAAAGACAGUUUAAUUUCAGGUCCCUUAUUUGCGAGAGAGUUGGCUAACCCAAAUAAAACAUGAUCCAUCUGUCUGUUGUUAUGAGUGACCAACUUCAGCUGAACACUAUUACUUAAUAACAGCUAACUUUCCUAUAGACCGAGAAUGUGUAGCAGCUAUGAGCAGAUGGAAAUUUCCUUUGGUUUACCACCCUGGAUCUCUCUUGCUCCAACAUGUGAAGAACUUGGGUAAUAAGCAUAUUCUCCUUUUUAAUCACAGUAUGGCUUGGACAUGCAUUGUUGUGAGAUGACUGGUAAAACAGGAAAAUUUAUGUCUAGGGGGAAGAAAAAAAGCGAGUGGUAAUUGCGUUAGAUUCCCGAGAGCACUGCGCCAAAUGUUCUCUUCAGGGAAUAGAUCUCCACAACCGGCUCAGGGAAUCUCACUUACUAUUCCUGUCUAGAUUAAUUCAAACGUACAGAAGAAGACGGCUCAGAGCAGCAGCAUUAGGUUAAGGAGAAGGAAAUGUAGAGUAUUUGGGUUUGUUUGACUGUAACCUGGAAUAAGCCAGGCUGCAAGGCAUGUUUCUGCAGACAGCCCUGGCAGGGAGAGAUUUAACGCAGCUGGGCAUAGUUGGCGCAUGCAAAAAGGACCAGGGAAGCAGGCAGCAAGCAAGAAUGACUGCUCAGACUCUCUUCCCAGGACUCAUGAGUUGCUUUGCUUUUUUACGAUGCCCCAUUGUAUAGGGUGCAACGUUUCAGAUGGAUUUUCCCCCUCAAAGAGUUUCUGUCUUGCAGACAUUGAGCUUAGCAGUUUUCAACCCUCACGCAUAUAUUUCUUUGCUUCAGGCUUACAUUUUUGACUGGAAGGAAGGCAUAGAAAGAUAGGCAGCACCUUAUAAGUAAAAGUUCUGAUUUCAGACUGCUUAUUUUCCUGGCUUCGUGCUGGCUACUUUUCCUUUUGUUUAAAAUGCAUUCGAGAUUGUUGGUCUCUGCCAUUCAACUGAUGAUUCACGCACUGGGGUUGUUCACCUGCAGACAGGGUAGAAUUCUUUGUGUUGAUUUUUCAUGCUCAUUAUGACCCUAAUGGGACUCUUAUCCCAGACAAAGGAAAUGACUUUUGCUUGAUUUGGAAGAGAGUUGUUUAACCAUGGGAUGAGUGUCAAAAGUUGUACAACCCCGUCUCACUGUCAGCCUCAACUUUGACCACACUUCUCUGAUCCAGAAACUGGAUCUCGCCGGAUCCCAGGAGAACACAGUAAAUACCAGAAUUCUUGCCCUGUGCCCAACUUACUCUAAGGCCUGGUAAUAGUUCCGAGGUAUUUGCUUUUCUCAAGGUUGAAAACAGACUGCUGUGAUCUCCAAAUGAUAGUAAGACAGUCUCAAAUUUCGAAAUGCCUUCACAUUCAAUCAAAGUCUCAGACCUUUGGCAGCUCACUCAUCUCAAUCAGUAAACAGUGUAAGAAAGCACAUUCCUGCCAUCUGCACUUAAUUAGCUGGAGGACGACUGGCCCAAUUUUGGUGGUGUUAGAAUCUCCAGCCAUGAGACAAGAUGCCCAGUUAAACUUGUGGUGCAGAUGGACAGCAAAUAAUUUUUAGUUUAUGUAUACCACAGGCAAUCUUUGAUAUAUGCUUAUACUAAAAGGGAUUGUUUAUCUGAAAUACAGAGCUAUUUAUGGACUGUCUACAUUUAUCUAUGUGUACUGUAUGAAGAGAAAGAUAUAGAUAGCACAGUGGUCCUAUAUUUUUGUUUGCUAAAUCUAGCAUCUCUGGGAAAGAACAAAUGUAUGCUCAAGAGUAACUCAGGAGGCCAAAAAAAAGUAAAGAUGAGAUUUUAAUAGAUAGACAACAUUCUUAGAACACUAGCACUCCAGGUUUCGCCAGUACUAGGACUUCUGAAAACAAAUGCAGCUGUGCUGAGAGGGAGGCACAUCCAUACCUUUGUGUGGCUUGACAAGACUGGUGUGCUAAUCUCGUUUUAAUAUUUUAGUUCAAGGGUUCUUAACCAUUUUUUCUGCUAUUGUCCUCUUUUUUUUGGCUAUUGUCCUUUUUGGUGGAAUAGUAAGACGUAUGACUAACUUCUUGGAAUAGUGUUGAAACAGACAAAAAUAAACUA